GUUCGCAGACCUGUUAUAUACGGCCGUGGUUUCAGUCUUCAGUGUUUGUGUUAAUUGUUAAAGCUGAUUGUAGCCGAGCCAAAGUAAAAAUGAAUGCGAGUUCUUCUUUAAAUGAUUCUCAGGAUCCAGUAAAGUCGCUGUGCGAACUGUCAAGUCACGAUUUUUCCGAAAUCAAAGAGACAAUUACCUUUGUGGACAAAACCCU